rnacentral:rRNA from 1 species
GACGAACGCUGGCGGCGUGCUUAACACAUGCAAGUCGAACGGAAAGGCCCGGCUUUUGUUGGUUUCUCGAUUGGCGAACGGGUGAGUAACACGUGAGUAACCUGCCCCUGACUUUGUGGUAACUUCAGGGAACUGGGGCUAAUACCGGAUAUGAUCUCCUGCUGCAUGGGGGGGGUUGGAAAGUUUCGGCGUUUGGGGCUAGACUGGCGGCUUAUCAGCUUGUUUGUGGGGUAGUGGCUUACCAAGGCUUUGAGGGGUAGCCGGCCUGAGAGGGUGACCGGCGACAUUGGGCCUGCGGUAGGCACCAGUCUGGAACGGGAGGCAGAAGUGGAGAACAUUGCACAAUGGCGGGACGCCUGAGGCAGAAACGUCGCGUGCGGGAUGCCGGGUUUCGGGUUGAAAACAGAUUUCGCAUGAGCUGAAGCGUGAGUGACGGUACUGGGUAAAGAAGCCACGGCUAACUACGUG